AUCUUACUCAAGCAAAAAAAUAAUACUUGCAAUCAAAAUAUUUGUGUGACUGUGUAAAUAUUUAGCCUUUUACUUUUCCAAUCAUCACUUCUUUUGUUUACAGUUCUGUCUUUUUUUCCCUCACUGAUCAGACUUUUGUUUUCAAUGCCAGCUUUCUCAUUUGCGCUGCCUGACAUUUUGCUUGUGAUUUUUGGCACAAACCUCUCGGGUGGGCGGGCCUUGUGAGGAAUGCGUACUCAUUGGCUGAAUAGUUUUUGAGUGACACCCCGUGCCCCGGAUGUUGUUCUGUACAGCGGGUGAAUUCGGAUGUAUGGGAUGUACUGUGGUAAGCUACUUUAACGUAAAGAAGUGUUGAAGAAACAUCAGACUUAUCAUCAUGCACUGAACAAAUUCUCAACUGUGGCUACACAGGACCUAUAAAUGAUGACAACAAAGACAAAAUAGCACGGGCAAUCCUGCUGCACUCUGCUGCAAGGCGAACAACCAUGCUCAGGCAACUUCGAGAGGGACUACAACUUUACAGCCUCAUAGAUGUCAUGGAAAGGAACAGAAAGCUUUGCCAUGGCCUCUUUGUGGCUGCUGAUGCUGAUAAAGUGGACUCACACUACAUUGUGUCGCACUUGGCCCCAGAGAUGAGCGAAAAUGGUACACAAAAGCACACAAGGGAAGCACAAAUCCUAAACAACUUCUAGGAUUUCCUGCAAGAGCUUGAGGAUGGAACAGUUGAGGAUGAAGAUCCGCUUGAUGUCCCUGGAGUGAUGCAGUGGUUGACUGGACAGUCGCACCGGCAUCUUCUAACUGCAGACAGACAAAAUUUUAAGAUAACUGUCUGUUUUGACCAUGGGUGUUUGGAACGGAUGCCAGACCACAAGAUCUGCUAUCCACUUGUCAGCGCAUGCACAGAAACGAUCACAUUUCCAACUGCACACUGUGUGAAUUAUGAUGAGUUCAAGAAAAACAUGUUAACAGCAAUGAGAUGUGGUGCAGGAUUUUACAGGGUGUAGUUUGGUUCAAAUGGUGCCAGAACACUUAAGAUUCUGUUGUGUCAUUUUCAUGUUUAUCUGCAUAUUAGUUGUUAUGUGCCUCUACAGUGCACAAAUGUUUGUUACAUAAAACAGUGGUUCUCAACAGGUGGUGAGAACCCAAAAGUUGUUUACAGAGCUAUUUUCAGUGGAUCGUGGAUUUAGCAUUUGUUGGUUCCACAUCCUUGUUUAUUCUCUGAAAAGUUUUUUACUGUCUGAGAAUUAGUUAAUACUUUGAUUGGUUGUGAUAUUCUUGGCAGAGUUUGUGGUGGUUCCUGAAAAUGGACCAGUUAAGAUCAGCUGAUAAAAAAGUAAAAAUACACAAAUGUGUUUAAUAUAUUUAAUAGCAAAAUAAAAAAAUGUGCAAUUCA